rnacentral:sRNA from 1 species
AUGAUAAAUAGGCGCCGGCUGGAGUUUCUGGCGGCGCCCUCUUGCUCCUGGGUAAAAUGUAGUCACGCUACAUAC